rnacentral:lncRNA from 1 species
UUCAAGGGUUCGUAAUAUGAGAAUCACAACCCUUAUUUCUGUAAGGAACUCAACGGGGGGGAGGUGGGGCAUAGAUUCUUCUUCUGGGAGGGAAUCUUUUUAUGGGAGGGAUUGGAGGCAGACAAUUUUUCUUCACAAGGCAUCCAAAUGGCUUACCUGGCCACUUCCACCUUAUUGGUAUUCCUGCAUCUGAUAUUAAUCCAUGUCGGUAGAUACAUCAAAAAUUAUUAAAAAAGAGAAUUUCAACUCUCCAUUGCAUAUAUUUAUUAUAAAUUUAACA